GAUCCUGGCUCAGGAUGAACGCUAGCUACAGGCUUAACACAUGCAAGUCGAGGGGCAGCAUGGUCUUAGCUUGCUAAGGCCGGUGGCGACCGGCGCACGGGUGAGUAACACGUAUCCAACCUGCCGUCUACUCUUGGACAGCCUUCUGAAAGGAAGAUUAAUACAAGAUGGCAUCAUGAGCUCGCAUGUUCACAUGAUUAAAGGUAUUCCGGUAGACGAUGGGG
rnacentral:rRNA from 1 species